UAGGGAAUCUUCCACAAUGGACGCAAGUCUGAUGGAGCAACGCCGCGUGAGUGAAGAAGGUUUUCGGAUCGUAAAGCUCUGUUGUUGGUGAAGAAGGAUAGAGGCAGUAACUGGUCUUUAUUUGACGGUAAUCAACCAGAAAGUCACGGCUAACUACGUGCCAGCAGCCGCGGUAAUACGUAGGUGGCAAGCGUUGUCCGGAUUUAUUGGGCGUAAAGCGAGCGCAGGCGGAAUGAUAAGUCUGAUGUGAAAGCCCACGGCUCAACCGUGGAACUGCAUCGGAAACUGUCAUUCUUGAGUGCAGAAGAGGAGAGUGGAACUCCAUGUGUAGCGGUGGAAUGCGUAGAUAUAUGGAAGAACACCAGUGGCGAAGGCGGCUCUCUGGUCUGCAACUGACGCUGAGGCUCGAAAGCAUGGGUAGCGAACAGGAUUAGAUACCCUGGUAGUCCAUGCCGUAAACGAUGAGCGCU
rnacentral:rRNA from 1 species